rnacentral:rRNA from 1 species
UACGUAGGUGGCAAGCGUUGUCCGGAUUAUUGGGUUAAAGGGUGCGUAGGCGGCCCUGUAAGUCAGUGCUGAAAUACCCGGCUUAACCGGGGGUGGCAUUGAUCACUGCAGGGCUUGAGUACAGAUGAGGUAGGCGGAAUUGACGGUGUAGCGGUGAAAUGCAUAGAUAUCAGGAGGAACACCGGUGGCGAAGGCGGUCUCUGGGCCGAUAUGACGCUGAGGAGCGAAGCGUGGGAGCGAACAGG